rnacentral:piRNA from 1 species
UGCUGGCAAGACCAAGACCUAAGGACU